CCAGCCCUGGGCCUCUGGGGAGACGGUGGAGGCAGCCAGGGCUGGACUGGCGAGGAGGCCACUUGAGCAGCGCCCUGGGGUAUCCGUCUUUAGGGGGAAAAGCCUGAUAAACACAGCGGAUUCCCUCCUCUUCGGCACUUGCCCUUCCUUCUGGAGAACAGAGCCGCAGCUUUGUGCCCACCAGCCGUUUGUCUCCUCUGAGCGGUGAACGGUGACGUCGGAACUAACCUUAGCAUCACAUUCUGUUUGGAGGAUCCCUUCCAUACCGAGCCUCCUCGGGAGCUACCGGUGACGGUUGGACUCAACUCUUUAAACUACGACGAGGGAAAUGCAACGUCAGAGUCGUGUUGGCUGGUACCGCUCCUUCCUUCACGCCUGGGCCACGCUGUGGUGCUGCGCCGCUGGGUGGGGGGAGGCUUCCGGAAGACGCCAGGCCGAGUGAGCAGCAGAAACCGAUGCGGGAAGCAAAGGCAAAAGAAAAUUUCCCUCACUCCCUACAGCCCUUUGACAAGUCCUUGAAACAGGCAGAGUGACCUUCCCCUGGGAGCUCAGCUGCCGCCACGUUGAUACCUUGCUGAGGGCAAGAGGCCAUCUUAGGCCAAACCCCUACUUUAACAUAUAAAAAUUCCUUGGGAACUUCCUUUAUCUCUAUCCUCCCCCCCACACCCCGCAGGAUAUAUGCUGGCGAUCACCCCCCUAGCCCAUAGCACACCGAUCUCCGUCUGAAGGGCCUCAUGACUCAGGCUUCAUUAGGCAGUAAUAAAUGACCCUUUCUCAACGACAGCUGGCCCCCUCCAGGUCCUGGAAACUUUGCUUCCAAAAUUCCUUAGAGGCUUACGCUCUCCCUAACCCCCUCCCACUUGAAAGUAUAUAAUGGGUCCCCCCAGAGCAGCUCGUCCUGUCCAUGGGUCCUGUGCCCAGGCUCUAACAAAACCACCUGUUGGCACCAAGACGUCUCAAGAAUUCUUCCUUGGCCGUCAGCUUUGAACCCUAACAUCUUUCCUACACAGUGGACAGGGUGGGCAACAGGUCUCCAGGAAGAAAGAGUACUCCAUAAAUGCCCAGAGACAAGAAACAGUGGGGAAUCCUACAGGAACUGUAAGAAAUUCAGUAAGACCAGAUUAUAAAGCAUUAGACUGGAGUGCUGGGAAAUAAAUUGGAAAGACAAACAAUGAUCAGAUCAUGAAGGGCAUUGUAAGCCACACUCAGGAGGUGAUAUUUUACACUAAAAACAAAUGGGGGCUAUUGAAAGCAUUUAAUCAGAAAAGUGACAGAGUUUGUAUAAAAUCUCAGAAAAGGAUGGCAUGGGACUUUCUUACGGACUAGAGGAAACAUAGAACACAAAAAAAAAAUAAAACAUAAAUAAAAACCAUAAAAAAAAGUGGUGCUAGAGACAAUUGGGUAAAAUACACCAUGAGUCGGAAGCAGAGUUAAUAGGAGACUAUUAGUGAAUGAAUCUAGGAAAAAGGACAGAAAUGAGAGUUCCUCCCCCUUCCUGGCACUGGCAGCUGUCCGGGUAGAAGGGAUGCCCACCACUGACAAAGGAGAAGCAGGACAAAGACCACAUUCGAGGGGAAUUCGACACUUCUGUGAGCCCUGCCACGAGGGAGAACCUGAGACUCAAGAACGAGACCGGAGGGGACACAGCACGGAGCCCAGAAGAGGACGGAGGCCUAAUCUACAUGUACUGAGCAUUAUAAAGAGUUUCCAUAAUUCAUCAGCAGAAAUUAUGCUACAGUUGUAAUGAAAUAACAAGAAUCAACCAGAUGGAACUGAAGCCAGUCACUGUGGGAAUUUGAGACAUUCAUGCUGUUUGGGGGGAUUGAAUAUGUACUUACCCAAUCCAAAACAGAGCAGAUGGCAAAGCAAACAGGUGUUCUUCUGAACAGCAAGCAAAUAGAGAAAUCAGACAGUCCAAGGAGUUAUCCUGCUGCCACGUGAAUGCUUGUUUUCUUUUCUACUCAAUAUGCUUGUUGAGGAGGAAAUUUUCUCUACCCUUCAAGAUUCUUCUGAUUGGUCUAAAAGUUAAAUUGAUGUGAGACAUUAAUAGGAGAAGAUCAAUGUUAAUUUUGGAUGUAUAGGAAUCCCGCAUAUAUGAAAAGUUCAAAGACAAAAGAGUAAAUGCGGUAUAUUCACCAUCGACGGUCAUAACUCUAUUUGUGGAGCAGGUCCUCUAACUUCCUUUAGGCAGUUAGGGAAAAGUCAAAUUUUCUUCCUGAGUGUUUGAGCCUUGAUUGUUUUCAGCUCAAAUCAUCUACAUGCCAAAGUGUCACAGCUUUUGGGCAAUUCAUUCUCAACUCCUACCAGCCAAACACUUCGAUCCUGCAUCUCAGGCACCAGGGCAAAUCCAGAUAAAGGUAAUACAAAACACAUCACACAUUUUCAAUAGAAAAAUUAAAAUGGAACACAGAUGAUCCACACAUAGUCAACAAUGCAAAACUCUGAAAUCAUACUACAUAGUAUCAACAGAU